rnacentral:rRNA from 1 species
GGUCCUACGGGGCGCAGCAGUGGGGAAUAUUGGGCAAUGGGCGCAAGCCUGACCCAGCAACGCCGCGUGAAGGAAGAAGGCUUUCGGGUUGUAAACUUCUUUUAUCAGGGACGAAGCAAGUGACGGUACCUGAUGAAUAAGCCACGGCUAACUACGUGCCAGCAGCCGCGGUAAUACGUAGGUGGCGAGCGUUAUCCGGAUUUACUGGGUGUAAAGGGCGUGUAGGCGGGAAUGCAAGUCAGAUGUGAAAACUAUGGGCUCAACCCCUAGCCUGCAUUUGAACCU